rnacentral:snRNA from 1 species
AUCGCUUCUCGGCCUUUUGGCUAAGAUCAAGUGUAGUAUCUUUU